CCUUCGGGUCUAGUGGCGCACGGGUGCGUAACGCGUGGGAAUCUGCCCUUGGGUUCGGAAUAACAGUUAGAAAUGACUGCUAAUACCGGAUGAUGUCUUCGGACCAAAGAUUUAUCGCCCAAGGAUGAGCCCGCGUAGGAUUAGCUAGUUGGUGAGGUAAAAGCUCACCAAGGCGACGAUCCUUAGCUGGUCUGAGAGGAUGAUCAGCCACACUGGGACUGAGACACGGCCCAGACUCCUACGGGAGGCAGCAGUGGGGAAUAUUGGACAAUGGGGGGAACCCUGAUCCAGCGAUGCCGCGUGUGUGAAGAAGGCCUUCGGGUUGUAAAGC
rnacentral:rRNA from 1 species